UAAAGGACGGUCUUCACACAUGGCUGAGAAUAUGGAAUUACAGAGACAAAGAAAAAGGAGGGUGGCCAUCAAGGAUGAAGGGAGGAGCAAAGAGUGCAGGACCGCUACUGAAACAAUAACACCAUCAGAAAAACCACAGCAGGGUAAGAUGAUCCAUUGCUUUUCAUCCAGAAGCACACGGAGCAAAUCAGCGUGUUUGUUUUGACUUGUCAAUGUGUGGUUUAAAUGUUAUUUUUGUAAUAUAUGUUUUAUACUGUGUAAAAAGGUUCAAGGGUGGUUCCACAGUUGCUCUUUAGAAAUGGUGGGUUGAAUAUCCAAUUCAUAACACUUUAGAUCCAAAGAUGGGUAAAUUAUUAAAGACAAAAAAGUGAAGUAAAGUCUACUUUUUCUAGAAAGUAAUAUCCACAAAUGAAUUUAUAAAUACACUGUAAAAAAAUCCAGUUGUUUUUAUAGAAUAAAAAUGGCAGCUGUUGAUGCCAGAAUCAUAAAAACAUAGAUUCAUCCAUAAUUGAUACAUUUAAUUAGCCCAAAAAUAACACAGCAUUACCAAUUGGUUCAUGAAAUAAACCAGCCAUUUUCUAGAGAGUUUUGGUCAUUUUUAUUAAGAGGUAUGUUUGAAUGGAAAUUAUGUAUUUCUGGUUGCUAAAUGUGAAACUUGAUAUUUAUGUAGUCAUGUGAACAGUGUGUGGUAGUUACUCCAAAAAUUUAAUAUAUUACUCAUUACUAGUUACUCAUUUCAAAAGUAAUAUUAUUACUUUACUUAUUACUCUCUGGCAAAAGUAAUUAGUUAUACUACUAGUUACAUUAUUUUUCUUUCACACCCCACAUAAAUUGUAAUUGCUUAUUUUCCCCAAAUCCGUCUGAAUAUAUUCUGCCUCAUCA
ensembl:lncRNA